UCUGCUUUAUGUACUCCAAGACUUCAAGCACAGCUAGGGUUUCCAGUUGAAGACACAACACCGCCUGAACUGGUUUCGUGAAACCAUCCACGAGGCUACUGGAGAAGUCCCGGACUACGCAGGCCACGGCUCCUUCCGUCGACCCCUGGCAGAUGGAUCCAUCAACAUUAAUCUUCAAAAUCUACCACUUUGCAGGCAUCCGGCUUGGUUCCCCAAAAUAUAUAGUUGUUUCGCUCCUUCCAAACCUGCCAUAGGAUGUUUGAGAUCAUUUCCAAAGAAGUUGUAGGUUGAUUUCCGGGUGGCUCCAUACUCGUGCGGUCCAGGGGCAAAGAAGAUGGAUAUGUUCGACCGUUUCCAUACUCUCACGGCAAAGAUCGCAUACUGGAUCAGGUUCAGCAUUACUCACCAUUAAGAGAGGACUAUGGUCAGACCCAACAACCGGGAGAGGAUAUGCUUCUGCUUCCGGGAACAUUAGCCUCCAAUUUAGAGAACAAAAAACCCAAUCCAGUUUCUCCUUAACCAAAUUAGUCCAUUCUCUGUUAUUUGACCAAGUAAAAGCACACCAUUUGCAAUCAAUUUCCAUUAGCGAACAAUCAUUUAAGCAAUUUUGGAAGGCUUACAUUCUAUAAGU